ensembl:lncRNA
CUCAGUUUUGAGCAUCUUGCCUUUCUCUGUUAGGUAGAAAGGCCUGUUUUUCAGUAAAUUAUAUCCCUUUGCAUGUUUUAUGUAUUUUAUAACAGCCAAAACCAAAAUAAUCUGCAGCUCUGUGGGUGUCCCUUCCCCAAACAUGACAAACCUUAUAAACUAUUCAGCAACAAUUAAGCAAACUCAAAUAGCCCAAAGCAAAAAAGGAUCAGCUGAACAUCACUAAAAGCUACACAUAUGAUUUGCCUCACAGCAGUUCAUGGGCUUGACUCACAUCUUCCCAGAGCUAACGCAUUCAAACAAGCAAAAAAAAAAAAAACAAAGAAAAUUUUUUUGCCUCUGGCUAGAGAACAAUGUCCAGAGAUAGCUGCAGAAGAAUAAAAAACAAGCAUGAGGACUGAGGUGACCUCUAUUCAAAAAUCAAAUCAAAACAUCGCCACACACAAGAAAGCAUCAGAACUCUCCCCCAGUUAGUCAUACUGGAAAAACAAAAAACCUGCAUGUCAGACCGGCCUUCGUUUGAUUGACAGAUGAAGCAACGGCAGCGUUGGUGUGAUUAGCAAAGCCAGGUAGGCCACAAGUGGUCUUCCAACAUUUGAAUCAGCCUACUCUUCGUGCUCAACAUCCCCCGAUAAGCGAGUCAUAGUGUAGGCUGUACAGGAUAAGCACACACAUGCCCACACACACACAGCUCUCCCACUCAUCGAUCUCAUUACAAACAAAUCAUAUCUCUUAGGGACCAUGUUAUGCACCCCAUAGUGUUCAAGAGCAGGACAGUAACUCACGACAAGAGGGUUUUGUAACACAUUAAGACAUGACAAACUUUACAUGAUGUUAAUAGCUGGUAAAAAAAAAAAAGAAAAGAAAGAAAAACACACACACUUAACUGCCAGCUCUUUUCUGUCUUUGUAUAAGGUGAAUAAAAUCGCAACAGGGACUUUUUAAAGGUGUUGAAUCAGGUCAAGUAUUUCUGAGAGCUUUUCAAAGCCGUGCAAACUGAAAUGAAAGAGAGGUGGUACAGGUGUGUCGUCCAUACAGGUAUGAUUGGCAGGCUUUCAGCAGGGGGGUCUCACUUGAGCAAUUCCUA